CUUAAAAUGAAUUGACGGGGACCCGCACAAGCGUGGAUGAUGUGGAUUAAUUCGAUGCAACGCGAAAAACCUUACCUACCCUUGACAUGUCCGGAAUCCCGAAGAGAUUUGGGAGUGCUCGCAAGAGAACCGGAACACAGGUGCUGCAUGGCUGUCGUCAGCUCGUGUCGUGAGAUGUUGGGUUAAGUCCCGCAACGAGCGCAACCCUUGUCAUUAGUUGCCAUCAUUUGGUUGGGCACUCUAAUGAGACUGCCGGUGACAAACCGGAGGAAGGUGGGGAUGACGUCAAGUCCUCAUGGCCCUUAUGGGUAGGGCUUCACACGUCAUACAAUGGCCGGUACAGAGGGUAGCCAACCCGCGAGGGGGAGCCAAUCCCACAAAGCCGGUCGUAGUCCGGAUCGCAGUCUGCAACUCGACUGCGUGAAGUCGGAAUCGCUAGUAAUCGUGGAUCAGAAUGUCACGGUGAAUACGUUCCCGGGUCUU
rnacentral:rRNA from 1 species